UGUUAACAUGUAACAUGUGAUAUUCAUGUAACUGAUUUUACUGAAACUCACCUUUUUUUUCCUUUUACUUCAUUCACAGGAGCACAGCAGCCAUCAUUUGGAAUUUAGGAUUUACUUCAAAAAAGUGGCAUUUUAUAGACUUGACCACACAUCACGAUGUGAUUAGUGGACACAUCUCCCUAUUCUCUCUUCUCCUAUGACUUGGAGAGGUCAGAAACUCCACUUCUGACUAUCUGCAGCAAGAGUAUAUAGGCCUGAAUUCAAAACGUCUAAGUGUUACUUUUGGCAUUGUGAUUCUGAUGUAAGGAAUCCCUUAUUCCAUAUUCUUCAAGGACAUCAUUCCUGCUCUUCUUAAGACUUAAAACCAUUCCUAUUUCUAUUAGUACAACCUAACUUGCAGAAGAGGCAAAGAGAAAAGCUCAGCAAGUGUUUAUGCUUCAACGCUUGGUGGCAGCAGUGGGUUUCCAGCCAACACACUCACAUUUCUCCAUUGGCCUGAAGUUACCAUGACAGAGAAUUAAUUGUGGGCACUAGUUUUAGAAAGAAAGAAGACAGCAAAGAAAGAAAGAAGAAAAGGAAAAGGAAGAAAAAGAAAGAAAAAGAAGGAAAGAAAGAAGAAAGGAAAGAAGGAAGAAAAGAAAGAAGGAUUAAAAGAUUCACAUGCAUAAAACAAGUCAGCAGCGGCUUUCGAAGGGUGUGUCAUUUGUUCAGGAUGUGUCAUAGAAGAAGCAGGUCCAUCACACACAGGAGACCAUAGUUCUUAUGCUAUUGUUGUAACAUUUCUGAUGAUGCUCUUCCCAAAAAGUUUAUUCAAGGAUGAUCAACACGCCGAAUCUUAGGGCUAGCAGGAUACACCUUUGGCAUGUUUCGACAUUCCGCUAUCCCCAAUUAUUUCCCAACCCCCCAGCCCCAUUGAAUAAACUA
rnacentral:lncRNA from 1 species